rnacentral:rRNA from 1 species
AAUCAACGCUGGCGGCGUGCCUCAGACAUGCAAGUCGAACGAUUAAGACUUCCUUCGGGAAGUGCAUAAAGUGGCGCACGGGUGAGUAACACGUAAGUAAUCUACCUUCGAGUGGGAAUAACGUUCGGAAACGAACGCUAAUACCGCAUAAUGCAGCGGCAUCGCAAGAUGACAGUUGUUAAAGGAAUUUAUUUCGCUUGAAGAGGAGCUUGCGGCAGAUUAGCUAGUUGGUAAGGUAACGGCUUACCAAGGCUACGAUCUGUAUCCGGUCUAAGAGGACGGUCGGACACACUGACACUGAAUAACGGGUCAGACUCCUACGGGAGGCAGCAGUCGGGAAUUUUGGGCAAUGGGCGAAAGCCUGACCCAGCAACGCCGCGUGAAGGAUGAAGUAUUUCGGUAUGUAAACUUCGAAAGAAUGGGAAGAAUAAAUGAGGUACCAUUAUAAGCUCCGGCUAACUACGUGCCAGCAGCCGC